UGGCUGAGUGGAAAAGCACUUGGCUUCUAAACUGAGUGUUCCAGGUUCAAAUCCUGG
rnacentral:tRNA from 1 species